GACCAUGUCCAUUCCUCGACCAACCAUGUAAACUGGCAAAACAUCACUAUAUUUACAUGCAAAAUACUAAUAACUCCUGCAUAGUAUUUUGUUUGGACUGUUAAACAUCUUCCAUGUUUUAAGAUCUCUGGAAAAGGUGUCUGUGGGGGACAGUGGUCAGCGGCACGAGAAACAUCACAGAAGUCUUCCAGCGAAGUAGAUGAGGAGGGCCUAGAACUUGCCAUUUGUCGGCACGGUGUUCUUCUUUGUGACCUUAAUAUGUUCAGGGGGAAUUUUUGCUUACCCUCUGUACCUCCAGAAAAAAAUGGCUUGUAAGCCAGUGAAAUUCUUUGCUAUGGAUGUUGCAUGCAAGUAUUGGCCUUACCUCAAGAGAGAGAGUGAGAGAUGCCCUGAGCUUCAGGAUCUGCUCUCAAUGAAGCCGUUUCUUUCACUGUUUCAUGCCAAAGCCCACAACUUCAAAUGCGAGGUAAGAAAAACCAUGUUAUUUUCUGACUUGACUGUCCAUGUGAUUUUCUUUAUCCAUACAUAAGAUUGUUGCAGCUUAGAUUCAUUUAUUUAUUUUUAAAGGUAAAAUGGAGUGGGGCGUACCAGGAGGGGGCUGGUUUGACUCUUGGGGAGGAGGUGGAGCAGUGUAAUGGCUUCCUUUCAAGAAUUGAUUUUACCACAAAGCACAUGGCAAGAGCAGAAGUGUUCAAGCUGCAGUACAUUUGCCAUGCUCUGGAAUCAGCAAAAGACGAACAACUUGGCUUCCACACUUGCCCGCUGAUAUCAAAAG